rnacentral:rRNA from 1 species
CCUACGGGAGGCAGCAGUGAGGAAUAUUGGUCAAUGGACGCGAGCCUGAACCAGCCAAGUAGCGUGAAGGAUGACUGCCCUACGGGUUGUAAACUUCUUUUAUAAAGGAAUAAAACGAGGCACGUGUGCCUUUUUGCAUGUACUUUAUGAAUAAGGAUCGGCUAACUCCGUGCCAGCAGCCGCGGUAAUACGGAGGAUCCGAGCGUUAUCCGGAUUUAUUGGGUUUAAAGGGAGCGUAGAUGGGUUGUUAAGUCAGUUGUGAAAGUUUGCGGCUCAACCGUAAAAGUGCAAUUGAUACUGGCAGCCUUGAGUACAGUUGAGGUAGGCGGAAUUCGUGGUGUAGCGGUGAAAUGCUUAGAUAUCACGAAGAACCCCGAUUGCGAAGGCAGCUUACUAAACUGCGACUGACAUUGAUGCUCGAAAGUGUGGGUAUCAAACAGGAUUAGAUACCCCAGUAGUC